rnacentral:rRNA from 1 species
UACGGAGGGGGCGAGCGUUAUUCGGAAUUAUUGGGCGUAAAGGGCGCGUAGGCGGCUUGAUAAGUCAAAGGUGAAAUCCCUCAGCUCAACUGAGGAACUGCCUUUGAAACUAUCUGGCUUGAGGCCGGGAGGGGGUGGCGGAAUUCCCAGUGUAGCGGUGAAAUGCGUAGAUAUUGGGAGGAACACCAGUGGCGAAGGCGGCCACCUGGACCGGUUCUGACGCUGAUGCGCGAAAGCGUGGGUAGCAAACAGG